GGAAUCAAUAACCAAUGAGAAAUGUAUGCCAUCCCAAUGGAGAGCUUAAAGCUGUAAUCUAUAUGUGCAGCAGAGAUUGCAGUUGUUCAACAACCCACUUGAAAACAGAUAUAAGGGAAAUAUAAGAGUCUACUGUUGCACUUCCCUUGCACCAAGUUCCUUGCUACCUCUUCAAAAGGCUGGGUGACAGCAGAUCCAAAAUUAAGUAGGUUUUUCCAGUCUCUCAUACCCCUGAGGAGAAAAGAAGGACUCAUGCAACUAUCAAGUGAUUCCUGGACAACCAAUAAUCCUUGGGCUAAACCAUACAAGAAAUCUGCAAGGAGAAAUAAUUCUCUUGGUCCUGAGUCAGUCUAUAUGAAAUUGUCAUAGCACUCUUGUCAAAGCACCACUCUAGAACAAACCUCAUGUCAACAGUUUUGUGUGAAUAAUGAGAUGAAAAACUGUCUUGCAAUAUUCACAAAAGACAACAGCAUGAAAGUAAAAUAGAUACUUAAUAAGAAGCUAAAACGAGGUCCUGUAAAAGCAAAAUCUUCACUGGAAGUUUGGGAAUGAUUUCGAUACUCUUGUUUGAUUCACAACACAAAUGCAUACAUUUUCCAAAAGGUUAGAGGAAGAACAGAACAAAGUCAGCAUAUGCAAACAGCAGAGUAAGGAGGUAGAUUAAAGUUAAAAAGCAAUCCUUCAAAUAUGUGAAUUUCAAUCUGAAUAAUGACCAGAAAAGAACAUGAACUUUUGUAGCUUGAAUGUAAAAACAAUAAUGCCAGACAAAAAAACCUCUAAAAUCUUCUCAGGAAAAAUGAGUACUUGGAUGAGAUGACAACAUAGAUUACAAUGUAGCAAAAGAACUAAAUUAAUAUUUUGAAUCUCCCUGCAUCACGUACAUGUUUGAAGACAUUUUUUUUUUUUUUUGCUUGUUUUAAGCCAGAACUUUUUUUAAUGAAGAACACAAAAGAGAAUAAAAAUAUCACAUUUAAAUGUCAGGAGCACAGCUCAUAGGACAACUUGACAAAAUGAAGGAUUUUACAUCAUCAAAGCCUAACACAUGUUUUCAAGACCUUUGUUGAAAUUCAAGGAAUAAAUGUCUGAAUUAUGGCCUUCCUACUUAAAAAUGGCUUUAUACCAGAGGACUAGAAGGAGACUUUGGAAACUCACUCAUCAAUAACCUGUACUGUGAAUGAAACAAAAAAAUAAGACAAAGUCUGGGGUCUCCACUGAGAUUCUUAAGGAAACAAAGUAGCCAUGGUAUAAGAGAAGACUCUACCCUGGAUAAAUAAAUGGCUAUAAAUUGGGACGCAGUGGAAAUUUUUUUUUUUCAUACAGAAGAGAAUUGACCAGUGAAGUUCUGAAUCAACUGUCAUGUAAAGAAGAUGAAUAACUAUGUGAAAAAUUUUCUGAUCGUGAUGAUUUAUUUGGGAUCUUAAAAAGAAGAGUUGGCUGCAGAGAGAUGCAAAAGGACUACACAUCCCUGAGAUGCGAGGUGAUAAACUGCAAGAUGGGAUUUUAUCCAAAUAAAUGUGAUGUGCAUAUGGAAAAACAAAUGUAAUUUUAUGACAGGUUCUGUAAUGAUGCGUUCUAAGAUGACUGUUAACAGCAGGAAUGAGCUCAUAGAUUAAAAUAAAUAUCUUCCCACAAUGAUCCUUUCAGUGUUCACUAAAAGGAAAAAACCCCAAAUGUUAAGGCUUAAUAGGUAAAGAAUAG